CCAGUGGUGGUUCAGUGGCAGAAUGCGUGCCUUUCCUGCAGGAAACCAGGGUUCGAUUCCCUGCCAACGCA
rnacentral:tRNA from 1 species